rnacentral:tRNA from 1 species
AUGAAUGUGGCGGAAUCGGUAGACGCGUUAGAUUUAGGUUCUAAACCUUUUUUAAGGGUGUGGGUUCAAGUCCCACCAUUCAUA